UCACCUAACCAGCCCCAGUGGCCCCUGGUCACUGACCUCACAUACACUGACCUACUGUUACACUUGCUGUGAGUAUACAGUGAAGUGCUCCCGAGCCACAUUUAAGUGGAAGUGCCAUUAUUGAAAUUCAUGUGAUGCAACAUAAUAAUGUGUAACCAACAGCUUACAUAGAAUUCACAGCAUGUUGGAUCUGGAAAGAGCCACAAAUAUGAUCUAAUGAAGUCUAACAUUAUCUUUUCACAAGAGAAGAAAUUAUGUCCUGUUAAUAUUAAACCUAUGAGUUUCCCCACAGUCAUACAGCAAGUUGCCUAUAACACAGGAUUAAAUUCAAGGACUUUUGGCUCCCAGGAAAGUAUCACCAAAACUCAGCAAGAUUUGACUUCAAGAGGUCACCUGUUUCAUCACUAUGAGAGCAAAG